GACGAACGCUGGCGGCGUGCUUAACACAUGCAAGUCGAACGAAGUGGCGAACGGGUGAGUAAUACGUGAGUAACCUGCCCUCCUUUUUGGGAUAAGCCUUGGAAACGGGGUCUAAUACCGAAUAAAGGGGGUUGGGCUCGCGGCCUAUCAGCUUGUUGGUGGGGUGAUGGCCUACCAAGGCGGCGACGGGUAGCCGGCCCGAGUGGGUGGACGGCCACAUUGGGACUGAGACACGGGCGAGACUCCUACGGGGGGCAGCAGUGGGGAGUAUUGCACAGGGGGCGGAAGCGUGAUGCAGUGACGCUGCGUGUGGGACGACGGCCUUCGGGUUGUCAACGCCUUUCACCCUCGACGCGGUAGAUGGAGAAGAAGCACCGGCUAACUACGUGCCAGCAGCCGCGGUAAUAC
rnacentral:rRNA from 1 species